rnacentral:tRNA from 1 species
UCCCUGGUGGUCCAGUGGUUAAGACUCUGUGCUUUCAAUGCAAGAGGUGCGGGUUCAACCCUGGCCAGGGAA